rnacentral:lncRNA from 1 species
GGAGUCCUUUGAAAAUUCAACACUGAAUACUUCCAGGGAAGAUGUAUUGCCCUUUCAAGCCAAGUCUUCCCUCCUAUAUACGAUCAUUGCAACUUGUGAGUAGGUGAAACUCCAGGAUUCUUUGCACAAUUUGGAUGGAAUGAGACUUCUCAUCUUCUGUAUGUAUUUUUUCCUUUUAGAAGAACAUUGGGUUGAUUUUCUUGAGGCAUAUAUUUGCUCAAAAUUUUCCAGCA